rnacentral:rRNA from 1 species
GAUGAACGCUGGCGGCGUGCCUAAUACAUGCAAGUCGAGCGAACAGACGAGGAGCUUGCUCCUCUGACGUUAGCGGCGGACGGGUGAGUAACACGUGGAUAACCUACCUAUAAGACUGGGAUAACUUCGGGAAACCGGAGCUAAUACCGGAUAAUAUAUUGAACCGCAUGGUUCAAUAGUGAAAGACGGUUUUGCUGUCACUUAUAGAUGGAUCCGCGCCGCAUUAGCUAGUUGGUAAGGUAACGGCUUACCAAGGCAACGAUGCGUAGCCGACCUGAGAGAGUGAUCGGCCACACUGGAACUUGGACACGGUCCAGACUCCUACGGGAGGCAGCAGUAGGGAAUCUGCCGCAAUGGGCGAAAGCCUGACGGAGCAACGCCGCGUGAGUGAUGAAGUUCUUCGGAUCGUAAAACUCUGUUAUUAGGGAAGAACAAAUGUGUAAGUAACUAUGCACGUCUUGACGGUACCUAAUCAGAAAGCCACGGCUAACUACGUG